CCUACGGGAGGCAGCAGUGGGGAAUUUUGGACAAUGGGCGCAAGCCUGAUCCAGCAAUGCCGCGUGAGUGAAGAAGGCCUUCGGGUUGUAAAGCUCUUUUGUCAGGGAAGAAACGGUGAGGGCUAAUAUCUCUUGCUAAUGACGGUACCUGAAGAAUAAGCACCGGCUAACUACGUGCCAGCAGCCGCGGUAAUACGUAGGGUGCAAGCGUUAAUCGGAAUUACUGGGCGUAAAGCGUGCGCAGGCGGUUUUGUAAGUCUGUCGUGAAAUCCCCGGGCUCAACCUGGGAAUUGCGAUGGAGACUGCAAGGCUAGAAUCUGGCAGAGGGGGGUAGAAUUCCACGUGUAGCAGUGAAAUGCGUAGAGAUGUGGAGGAACACCGAUGGCGAAGGCAGCCCCCUGGGUCAAGAUUGACGCUCAUGCACGAAAGCGUGGGGAGCAAACAGGAUUAGAUACCCUGGUAGUCCACGCCCUAAACGAUGUCUACUAGUUGUCGGGUUUUAAUUAACUUGGUAACGCAGCUAACGCGUGAAGUAGACCGCCUGGGGAGUACGGUCGCAAGNUUAAAACUCAAAUGAAUUGA
rnacentral:rRNA from 1 species